UGAGAAACUGACACCCGGGCGAACUCAGGGGCCAAGGCCGGCCAGGCUCUACGCUCUCCCAAAGGACAGCAGCACUGAGGACUUGUUCUGACGGGGACAUGUGUGACCUCGGCUUUCAGCACCAAGGAGAUGGGGACAGAUCGGGCUGCAGAGAGAGCUGCCUCUGUGAAUCCCGGAAGAAAGGGCAGGGAGAACAAAGUUUACACUGAAAAUCUGGACUUUCCAAGCAGCAUGUUGAGACAGACCCACAGCAGACAGAUUCCAUGGAAUAGCCUGAUGUUUCCCAGAAGGCUGGGGACCCCCACCGCCCGCCCCCAGCAGUGCCCCAGGCUGACAAGGGGAUUGAAGUCGGAAAGUCAGACGCCUGUCCAGUGCCUGAGAAAGCGGCCUCUGUGCUCCUGCUGGAUUUCACAGCAGGGCCAAGGGCCUCACUUCCCUCCUUUGCAAAGGAAAAUAGCCAUUCUGGCAUCAACUUUGCUGAUGAGGAUUUAUCUCCGAAGCCAAAAGGAAAAAAAGUCACCUCUUGAGUCCUAAUUAGAAUGAUUCCUCUACUUAAUUUAUUCAGGAUAGCCUCCUGAAUUGGCCUGGUGUGUCCUUGAGUAUUGUUACUAUUACUGCUGCUGUUGCUGUUGUUGUUUUAAAGAAGCCAUUUCUGACCAGGGGCUGGGGAGAUGCCUUUUGUUCGCCUCUGGGCCCUGCGGUACCGGCCCCCGCCAAGGGAACCAUUCCUGCACUGCUGUGUUUAUUUGAGUUAUGUAAUAUAAACAGCUCCAAGGAGAUGGGCUCCGCCACUUUUUGUUUUUAGACUCCGACUUCACUUGCCCUCUGCAGAGCUUGGCGCUUGGGUGGUUUCCUCCAGCCUCCUCUGUUUUGCUGCUGGGGAACACAACAGCCUGCCGUUGACCCUUCUCUAGGACUAGCCCUUUCCUUCUCAGACCCAGCAACGAAACAGAGACGCUGCUGAGGCUGACAGUGUCCUCAAAGGCUCAGCCUAGGCUGGAGGUGGAGGGGGCAUCAGAAUGAGCUGUCUUGGGCAUUAAGCUUUCUCUGUAGCUUCUUCACUGAUACCUAGUUCCUCCAAGUCAGAAGUAUCCCUUGGUGUUCCCAUCAUGGCUCAGCGGUUAACAAACCCGACUAGCAUCCAUGAGGAUGUGGAUUCGAUCCUUGGCCUUGCUCAAUGGGUUAAGGAUCUGGCGCUGCCGUGAGCUGUAGUGUAGGUUGCAGACACGGCUCGGAUCCCACGUCGCUCUGGCUGUGGUGAAGGCCAGCAGCUGCAGCUCCGAUCAGACCCCUAGCCUGGGAACCUCCAUAUGCCACAGUCCUAAAAGCCAAAAAGCCAAAAAGCUAAAAAAAAAAAAAGAAAAGAAAAGAAGUAUCCCUAGAAUGUCUGAAACAUAAUUCCGUGUCGCAUAUGGAUUCACACCUGACUUUUCAGGAACACCUCUGAUGUGUAAAACACAUGUGACUAUAGUUAGGAGGCGAGUUCGAAAGGUAUUGCAGACAUCAGCUCCACAUUAUUUUACUAUUUGCAACCCCUUAAGUCAAAUAUUUGCGAAGUGUUUCAAUGCUAAUUAGACCAGGCUGAUGGUUUAUCCCCCUAAUGACUCCACGCAGUGGAGAAACCCCGCAGCCUCCCAGCUGAGUUUGCCUUGGCAAAACGGCAGGCGAGGCACCGUUGGAUUAUACUGCAUUUUUAGUGACAGGUUUCUUAAAACAACUCUCCAACCGGCUGCAUCACUGAUUCCUUUAUUUAUACAGUUGUCUUAAUGCAGAUAACAACUAUUUUCAGAAUAGUUAUGAACUCUCA
rnacentral:lncRNA from 9 species